rnacentral:rRNA from 1 species
UACGAAGGGGGCUAGCGUUGCUCGGAAUCACUGGGCGUAAAGCGCACGUAGGCGGCUUUUUAAGUCAGAGGUGAAAUCCUGGAGCUCAACUCCAGAACUGCCUUGAUACUGAAGUCUUGAGUGAUGGAGAGGUGAGUGGAACUGCGAGUGUAGAGGUGAAAUUCGUAGAUAUUCGCAAGAACACCAGUGGCGAAGGCGGCUCACUGGCCCAUUACUGACGCUGAGGCACGAAAGCGUGG